CCUACGGGAGGCAGCAGUGAGGAAUAUUGGUCAAUGGACGAGAGUCUGAACCAGCCACGUAGCGUGAAGGAUGACUGCCCUAUGGGUUGUACACUUCUUUUAUAUGGGAAUAAAAUGUUCCACGUGUGGGAUUUUGUAUGUCCCAUAUGCAUACGGCUCGGCUAACUCCGUGCCAGCAGCCGCGGUAAUACGGAGGAUCCGAGCGUUAUCGGGAUUUAUUGGGUUUAACGGGAGCGUAGGUGGAUUGUUAAGUCAGUUGUGAAAGCUUGCGGCUCAACCGUAAAAUUGCAGUUGAAACUGGCAGGCUUGAGUACAGUAGAGGUAGGCGGAAUUCGUGGUGUAGCGGUGAAAUGCUUAGAUAUCACGAAGAACUCCGAUGGCGAAGGCAGCUCACUGGACUGCAACUGACACUGAGGCUCGAAAGUGUGGGUAUCAAACAGGAUUAGAUACCCGUGUAGUC
rnacentral:rRNA from 1 species